GAAGGCCUAUGAUGAUUAAAAAUUGCCUACAUUGUCUGAUUUUCUUGUAUGAUGGAGGAAGAGAGAAUUUCUAAGGCAUGU